AUUGAACGCUGGCGGCAGGCCUAACACAUGCAAGUCGAACGGUAACAGAAAGCAGCUUGCUGCUUUGCUGACGAGUGGCGGACGGGUGAGUAAUGUCUGGGAAACUGCCUGAUGGAGGGGGAUAACUACUGGAAACGGUAGCUAGUACCGCAUAACGUCGCAAGACCAAAGAGGGGGACCUUCGGGCCUCUUGCCAUCGGAUGUGCCCAGAUGGGAUUAGCUAGUAGGUGGGGUAACGGCUCACCUAGGCGACGAUCCCUAGCUGGUCUGAGAGGAUGACCAGCCACACUGGAACUGAGACACGGUCCAGACUCCUACGGGAGGCAGCAGUGGGGAAUAUUGCACAAUGGGCGCAAGCCUGAUGCAGCCAUGCCGCGUGUAUGAAGAAGGCCUUCGGGUUGUAAAGUACUUUCAGCGGGGAGGAAGGGAGUAAAGUUAAUACCUUUGCUCAUUGACGUUACCCGCAGAAGAAGCACCGGCUAACUCCGUG
rnacentral:rRNA from 1 species